rnacentral:rRNA from 1 species
AGUCAACAUGCCCAGGGGACGUGGAUAACCUCGGGAAACUGAGGAUAAACCGCGAUAGGUCACUACUUCUGGAAUGGGUAAUGACUUAAACCUAUAUGGCCCCUGGAUUGGACUGCGGCCGAUCAGGCUGUUGGUGAGGUAAUGGCCCACCAAACCUGUAACCGGUACGGGCUCUGAGAGGAGGAGCCCGGAGAUGGGCACUGAGACAAGGGCCCAGGCCCUAUGGGGCGCAGCAGGCGCGAAACCUCUGCAAUAGGCGAAAGCCUGACAGGGUUACUCUGAGUGAUUUCCGUUAAGGAGAUCUUUUGGCACCUCUAAAAAUGGUGCAGAAUAAGGGGUGGGCAAGUCUGGUGUCAGCCGCCGCGGUAAUACCAGCACCCCGAGUGGUCGGGACGUUUAUUGGGCCUAAAGCAUCCGUAGCCGGUUCUACAAGUCUUCCGUUAAAUCCACCUGCUUAACAGAUGGGCUGCGGAAGAUACUAUGGAGCUAGGAGGCGGGAGAGGCAAGCGGUACUCGAUGGGUAGGGGUAAAAUCCGUUGAUCCAUUGAAGACCACCAGUGGCGAAGGCGGCUUGCCAGAACGCGCUCGACGGUGAGGGAUGAAAGCUGGGGGAGCAAACCGGAUUAGAUACCCGGGUAGUCCCAGCUGUAAACGAUGCAGACUCGGUGAUGAAUUGGCUUCAUG